CCUACGGGGUGCAGCAGUGAGGAAUAUUGGUCAAUGGCCGGAAGGCUGAACCAGCCAUGCCGCGUGAAGGUCAGUGCCCUAUGGGCGUUAAACUUCUUUUGUGCGGGAGCAAUAAUGGUCACGUGUGGCCAGACGAGAGUACCGUACGAAUAAGCAUUGGCUAACUCCGUGCCAGCCGCCGCAGUAAUACGGGGGAUGCAAGCGUUCUCCGGAUUUUUUGGGUUUAAGGGGUGCGUAGGCUGUGGGGUAAGUUAGCGGUGAAAUGCCCCCGCUCAACCUGGGAACUGCCUUUGAAACUGGCAAACUGGAGUGUGUGAGAGGAAAGUGGAAUUCCAGGUGUAGGGGUGAAAUCCGUAGAUAUCUGGAGGAACAUCAGUGGCGAAGGCGACUAUCUGGCACAUAACUGACGCUGAGGAGCGAAAGCGUGGGUAGCAAACAGGAUUAGAUACCCGGGUAGUC
rnacentral:rRNA from 1 species